UACGUAGGUGGCAAGCGUUGUCCGGAAUUACUGGGUGUAAAGCGCGCGUAGGCGGUAGGCCAAGUCUGCUGUGAAAUCGCCCGGCUCAACUGGGCGCGGUCGGUGGAAACUGGUCAACUGGAGGACGGUAGAGGCGAGUGGAAUUCCAGGUGUAGCGGUGAAAUGCGUAGAUAUCUGGAGGAACACCGGUGGCGAAGGCGGCAUCCUGGACCGGUAUUGACGCUGAUGCGCGAAAGCCAGGGGAGCAAACGGG
rnacentral:rRNA from 1 species